rnacentral:piRNA from 1 species
UGGAAGACUGCUGGUAGUGAUAGGCCA